ACAUUGGCCUUCAGGUGGACAGGAAGUCACAGUAAAGACCAAAUACAUUCUAUGUGUAGUACAGGUGUGUACUGUGUGUGUGUUCUCUCUCUGCAGGUCUGUUUGACACUCAUGGAAAAGUUCGUGAUCGUUGGACUCCAGCCGUCUUCCUCUUCGUCACUCUGGCGUCCAUCUCCGUUCUGCUGCUGGUGACCCUCGUGGUCAUCACGCUGAGACGUCGCGGUCUGUCUCGCCGUCCGUCUUCCGUCAGUGAUAAGGAGGAACUGCUUCCAGAACCAGACGAGCAGUCGUCUCUGGAGUCUCUGACCGUCCCAGAGAGUCCCAAACCGGACAAGGCCUGAGGAGAGGCCCUGCAGGGGCCCUGGGGCCCCACGAGGGGGGGGUCCAGAGCAUAGCCUGAGGCCCUGGUCUGAUCCUGCUGUAAUUCUCUUUAAUAAUAAUAUUAAUAACACAGAGCUGUCGCUGUGGUUUUGGGUUUAACUUUCCUCCUGUAGCUCAGCUGAUGAUGAUGAUGAUGGUUAUGAUUCAGUCUGACUUUAAUUAAACUGUCAUUAAUAAGUCAGACCUGUGAUUAUUAUUUUACUGUUCACUUCCUGUCUUUAAUCUGUAACUAAAGAGAUUUGUGUGUUUUUCUUAGUUCUUUUUAUAUCAGCGAUAUGAAGGUGUCACUUUGACCUCAGGUGACCUCUGGUGACCGCUGGUGACCUUAGGUGACCUCUGGUGACCUUAGGUGACAUCAGGUAACCUUAGGUGACCUCUGUCAACCUUAGGUGACAUCAGGUGACCUCAGGUGACCUCAGACAGAAGUUUGAUUCAUUUUUAUAUUUUAUACCUUUUAAACGUGUGAUCAUAUGAGCUGCACAGUGUCGCAGGGCAGCGUCUUAAAAUCAGGAAGUGUCAGAGAAGCAGCAGAGAUGUUCAUUGAAGACUCCGUUUCCCAUGAUGCAACAUGAUCAAGUCUUUGAUUAGAGUCAGGUGACCUGUUACAGUCCUGCUCUAGGUCAGACGUUAACACGUGGAUCUUUAGUUUCAAUUUUAAAGUCGGAAUCUUUUAUUGACCCAUGGUGUGUUGAUCAUCAGCUUAAACUGACAUUACAUUUAUUUUGACUUUUGUCUGUAAAAUUCUGACGUUAAUGUGAACACAAGUUUUACUGUCAGUAAAUGUAAAGAUUAUUGAAUGAUAAUUUUGAUCAGAGUUUCAAAAAUAUAAAUAUUUGACUGUGUUUUAUUGAUCCUCAGUGAUGAUUUGUUAUUUUCUGACCUGAAAGAGAAGGACAUGAAGUUUUAGUGUGAAUCGGCACUUUCAGGUUUUCCUUCCUGUCCUCAGUCACACUUCCUGUUCAGAGACGUCUUGUCUGAUUUUAAUAUCCUCUGUUGUUGAUUAUUGAUUUUAAUAAAAUGAAGGUCUCACCUGUUUAUUCAAUAAAACUUUAUUAACACGUCA